rnacentral:ncRNA from 1 species
GCUUUUUUCGCCCAGGCGGAAAUAGACCGCCCACCGAAGUGAUGAUCAAAUUUAUUGAUGAGAAUAAGUCAGAAUAUGGGACCCAAGCCAUUUGUAGAGUCUUGCCGAUUGCUCC